GACGAACGCUGGCGGCAUGCUUUACACAUGCAAGUCGGACGGGAAGGGCUGUUUCCAGUGGCGUGCGGGUGAGGCACGCGUAAGAACCUGCCGUGGGUAGGGUGACAACGGCUGUAAACGGCCGCUAAUACACCGGAGGUAGUGGCGCGAAAGGUGGAAUCCGCCCGAGGGGGGGCUGGCUUGUGACGUGCUAGUUGGGGAGGUAAGAGCUUACCAAGGCCGUGAUCAGUAGCCGGUCCGGGCGGAUCAUCCGCAAGACGGGGACUGAGACAAGGACCCGACUCCGGCGGGAGGCAGCGGUGGGUAUUUUUCAGUAAUGGGAGGCAGCAUGCCGGAGCGCCGCCGGGUGGAUGUAAACGGCCGACGGGUCAUGAGCUUCUUCUCCUGGCGAAGAAACAAUGACGGUAACUGGUGAAUAAGCAUCGGCUAACUCUGUG
rnacentral:rRNA from 1 species